rnacentral:lncRNA from 1 species
CAAGUGCCUCCACCAAGUGUUACAAUGCUGCAUGCAGCCAUACUAAGGAUCUCGCAGCAACACCUGCAGGUAAAAAGCAGAAGCAGUCAGAGUGCUGGUGUGUACUGGACACUAUGUUUGAAAACUUUCAGGUAAGGAGAGUGCAAGAAGCAGACAUAACAACUGCAUUUAUUUCCAUAAUUCCCCAUUUUAAUGGCCUUUUCUUUUUGCUUAGACAAUGCCUACGCCUAGCCACAGCAGCUCCCUCAUACAGACUCCGCAAGCCAAGAGGCCGUGGAGGCAAAUGCAGGCAGCCAGCACACCUCGAACAGCCACCUUGACUGCGGGUGUGUCACCCUAGUCGCCAAGGAAACAUUUGAGGGAAAGCGACAGGCAAUGUGAACAGCCACUUCUCCAUAUAAAUGAUACUCUUUCUCUCGGAUGACUCCUAUGCCUCGCCACGCCAGCACACUUGUGCACAAAGAUGCCGCAGAGGCACGUACAGGUCAGAGGCAAGAAGCAGUGGCACUGGUGUCGACAUUCACCCAAUUUCUUUUUCUUACACUGACGCAGCCAGCACACCUCGAACAGCCACCUUGACUGCAGGUGUGUCAGUAGAUUCCUGUUGUACAUAUGCUCACAAUAAACUUCAGCAAACUUGAACUUGAUAAUAAACUUGAAGGCAAAUGGGA